rnacentral:lncRNA from 1 species
UUAGACCAACAAUGGAUACGUGCCAUGCUUCGAUUAAGCAAUAAAGCAACAACAUUAAGCACCAAAUAGAAAAACAAUAUACGUUGGAUUAUAUACAAUAAGUCAUCAACAUUCAACGACAACGAGGAUACAUGUUGGAUUAUAGAUUAUUUCCAACAAAACAUUCUAGUAAAUACUAAAGUUUUUCUCACACAACAAAUAAGUGAUGAAAUGAAUUCAGCUCAACCAAUCCUCGGCGUUGGAAACGCUUGCUUUGAACCAUAACCGAUUCUCUGGGAAGGGUCAGCUAUUGCCAGUCUCGAGACCAACGCAGGACUGAUCAUCCAGGCUGAAGCGGCCUAUAUCAGGACGCAUAUUGUGAUAACCACGGUAGGGAACCAUAGCAAUGUCCGAGAUAUAGCAGUUGCUUAUCACAAAUGGUAGUAACGUUGUGCCAACAGUAGCUGGACCGCCUUUCACCAUCAUUGGAUAGUUUUGUCCAAGGAAGAGCGAAUUUUCUCCAAGACUAUCAAUACUGAACCAGGGAGAAGGUUUUGGCGCUAGCACACGAGUAUCCAUCCCGAAUACCCUGCAACGGAUGUUGGAAUAGAUCCAGAAAGUGCGACCAUGAUAGACAACACCUGGUUCAUUAGUAACAUCAGCAGUGCCCUGUAUACAUACAAGAAGAGGUGAUCCAUCGGAAUAAGUUGCCAGGCGCCACUGAGUAUAUAGGUCCUCCUCGUCAUCAUGCUCGUGAUCAUCACCAUCGUCAUCUCUUUUUGGUUAUAAAAAUUUUCAAGUAUAGGUGGUGGAAUGUUCACAGGACCUUGGAAACACAAGAAUGCUAAUUAGUAAAGGGAAAUUCGCGAACCCGCAUGCAUGUGGAUUAAACAAUCUCUACCUAAUAAUAAUAAAGAGAAUUAAGAGAAUUGGGUUUGUGCCGUACGUCGUCGGCAUUUUUACAGAAACCCCCCUACUGUUUCAGGUAUUCAACCCGCAAUCCACCACGUAAAGAACGGUUCGCCAGGUGAUCCACCUCUAAUUUCCCCUCUACGCCGCCACCCGCCCGAGACGACCGCGCCCGACCGCCCGAUUCUGCGCCUCCCGCCGGAGACCGCCACCGACGAGGGCCACGCCGGCGAUCUCCCCUCACCGCAUGCCUCCUCUUCGGCGUUCAUGUCGGUGGCGACCUCCUGUGUUGUGCAGCGGGAGAGAGCUUUGAGUAAAGGUGAGAGGACGAAGAAGAAAUAAGAGAGAUGGGGCGACGUGCUACAGGUGCUGCUCACCGGCGGGAGGACGGUGAGGGCGGAGCAAGGCGGUGGCGGAGUGGGCCUUGGGCGAUGUGGUCGGAUCGAGCAGUGCUCGAUGCAGAGGCGGGCGCUGGCUCGCUGCUCCUCCCGAGACGGAGCAGGGGCGCGAUGCAGUUGACUUGGUAGAGAGUGCCUGCGCCUUGACGACUCCAACGAGGUAGAAAGGCCUGGGACGGACACGGGGGAAACGGAUCCGUACGUUUGCCGGCUGGAUCGGAACGUGGGCAAGCCCAGGUGGCGUGUGGCAACGGAUGAAGGUGCCCGCGGCCAUGAAGCUCCGAUGAUGGCGCUGCAGAGAGCAAAAAAAUAGAGGGAGCGGAGCUCAGGUAGGAGAUGGAGAGCACGGGGAGGAGGAGAGGUCCAGGCACAGCUGUGCGUGCUCACCGGCGGCCUAGCCGACGACGCGGCGGAGCGGCAGUGGAUUGGCCGGGUCAGAAGCUUGGCCUCCGUGGCGCUCGUUCCUGGUGGCGAUGUUGCUGGCUCUGGUCGCGCACUCUAGGUGUGGCGGGGCGACGCCAAGCCAUUUGUGGGCUUUCUGGAUAGAGAAGGGAGAGCAGCGCGUCGCCGGAAGCUGCCAUCGCCCCGCAACCAUGAUGCCCGUCGCCUCACAGCACUAGCCAUCGCCUCUCGCAGCAGGGCAUGUCGAGCUCCGGCGGCUGGGGCAAGAAAGGGCAAGGUGAGAGGGGAGCCUAUUAGGCGCAGUGCUGUGGAGGAGUGGCGAUGAGUGAGAUAAAUUGCGGCAGACAACGAAAGGACAUGGCAACACGAUGGGAGGGAGAUUGGGGAAGACGACUGAGCGAGAGGAUAAGGUCAUGUGGAGAUAGCGGUGCAGGGGGCCGCCGGACACACGUAAUGAGUGCAGGGCGGCUGAUGCGUUUUUUGUGUGCGUGGGAAUGAUGCGUUCGUUGACUAUAGUCAGCUAAACCAAAGCCAUGUGGGGAGUCCAUAUGACUCGUGGAGCACCAGCGAGGUGCUGGUUUCUUCUAGCAAUCAGCCAACGUACUUUGAGAGUAACGUGUCA